rnacentral:rRNA from 1 species
UGCGUAGGUGGCACCGUAUGUCGGGUGUGAAAGCCCACCGCUUACCGGUGGAACUGCAUUCGAAACUGCGGAGCUAGAGUACAGGAGGGGAGAGCGGAAUUCUUGGUGUAGCGGUGAAAUGCGUUGAUAUCAAGAAGAACGCCGGUGGCGAAGGCGGCUCUCUGGAAUGUUACUGACACUGAAGCACGAAAGCUGGGGGAGCAAACAGGAUUAGAUACCCUGGUAGUCC